rnacentral:rRNA from 1 species
UACAGAGGUCUCAAGCGUUGUUCGGAUUCAUUGGGCGUAAAGGGUGCGUAGGCGGCGCGGUAAGUCGGGUGUCGGAAAUCUCGGAGCUUAACUCCGAAACUGCAUUCGAUACUGCGUGCUUGAGGACUGGAGAGGAGACUGGAAUUCAUGGUGUAGCAGUGAAAUGCGUAGAGAUCAUGAGGAAGACCAGUGGCGAAGGCGGGUCUCUGGACAGUUCCUGACACUGAGACACGAAGGCCAGGGGAGCAAACGGG